rnacentral:rRNA from 1 species
UCCGGGGGUGGUAAGCGUUGUUCGGAAUUACUGGGCGUAAAGGGCUCGUAGGCGGCCAACUAAGUCAUACGUGAAAUCCCUCAGCUUAACUGGGGAACUGCGUGUGAUACUGGAUGGCUUGGAUUUGGGAGAGGGAUGCGGAAUUCCAGGUGUAGCGGUGAAAUGCGUAGAUAUCUGGAGGAACACCGGUGGCGAAGGCGGCAUCCUGGACCAAUAUUGACGCUGAGGAGCGAAAGCCAGGGGAGCAAACGGG